UACGAAGGGGGCGAGCGUUGUUCGGAAUCACUGGGCGUAAAGCGCACGUAGGCGGCUUUCUAAGUCAGGGGUGAAAUCCUGGAGCUCAACUCCAGAACUGCCUUUGAUACUGGGAAGCUCGAGUCCGGAAGAGGUGAGUGGAACUCCGAGUGUAGAGGUGAAAUUCGUAGAUAUUCGGAAGAACACCAGUGGCGAAGGCGGCUCACUGGUCCGGUACUGACGCUGAGGUGCGAAAGCGUGGGGAGCAAACAGG
rnacentral:rRNA from 1 species